rnacentral:rRNA from 1 species
UACCAGCACCCCGAGUGGUCGGGACGUUUAUUGGGCCUAAAGCAUCCGUAGCCUGUUCUGCAAGUCCUCCGUUAAAUCCACCUGCUUAACGGAUGGGCCGCGGGGGAUACUGCAGAGCUAGGAGGCGGGAGAGGCAAACGGUACUCAGUGGGUAGGGGUAAAAUCCAUUGAUCUACUGAAGACCACCAGUGGCGAAGGCGGUUUGCCGGAACGCGCUCGACGGUGAGGGAUGAAAGCUGGGGGAGCAAACCGG